rnacentral:rRNA from 1 species
UACGUAGGGUGCAAGCGUUAAUCGGAAUUACUGGGCGUAAAGCGUGCGCAGGCGGUUUUGUAAGACUGUCGUGAAAUCCCCGGGCUCAACCUGGGAAUGGCGAUGGUGACUGCAAGGCUAGAGUUUGGCAGAGGGGGGUAGAAUUCCACGUGUAGCAGUGAAAUGCGUAGAUAUGUGGAGGAACACCGAUGGCGAAGGCAGCCCCCUGGGUCAAAACUGACGCUCAUGCACGAAAGCGUGGGGAGCGAACCGG